GGCGGGACGGGGCUGCCCAGCCAGCUGGCACGUCCGGGGGCUCUCAGGACACGUCCCUGCCUCUGGUGUGAUGUAGGCGUGGGCUGAAGCUAACCGUGCAGGUUCAUUGGCUGGUUUGUGCCCUGACUCUCCCCAGGGAGCACGGCUGGUGGGGCCCAUGGUGACUGGACAGUCUCUGUCCGCAGGAACUCCUAGUUAACAGGAGACAGAUACACAAGAAAGAAAAAAGAAUGAACAAAAAGACAGUGCGUUUAGCGCAACCUGCUGGGGCAGGGGAGGGGCCUUGUCUGAAUUUCCAGGGCCUUCUCCUGGGACCGUGGGCAUUCCCGCCAUCUUGCCUUCAAGGCUCCCUGACUUACACUUUCUGAGGGAGUCCCGUUCCUGGCCGCCAAGCCUCUCCCGACCCCGGCUCGCUGGCCGGCUGCACUGUCCCCUGCUGCUUGGCGGGCCUGGGGACACUCGGGCCUAGAAGGAAGUCUGGCUGCCCUGGGCCACCUCCUUGGGGCCGCUCCUCAGCCCUUGCCCCAGCCCGAGGCCUUCUCCUCUGCGGCAGCCGGGGCAGUGCCGGGGUGGGGGGCGGCCUCGGGCUGUGACAGCAGGUGCUAAGGGCUGGCGGCCACCACAUGCGGCUUCACCUCCGGGUCCUCCAGCGCCUGGGGCCAGAGAUGGGCUCCCCUCAGGGGGCAAAGUCGGCUUUCACUGUCUAACUGGACGGGGGAUAUGAACUCUGGAUUCUAAGAGCCCAGAGAAGCACAUGAGAAAUCUCGCACGUCUCUGUCGUGUCUCCGAGGAAAGGGCCAGGGACGCCGGCGAGCACUGGAUGCGGAGGUGCACAGCGACCCCGCGGGUGGGGUCCUGCGGGUGUCUUGAGAGCCCGUCUCUCCCGGCAGCAAAGCACCUCUUCGUGGGACGCAGUGGGGCCCGCAGGGACCAGGUUAUCCCUCAGCUUCAAAGCCUGCGUGCACCUUUUCACGGGCAUGGUGUUUUCUUCUUAGUAACCUUUUCACUGCAGAGUAACGUGGGCACCGAAGAGUUCGCCAAUCAUAAAUGUACAGCGUGGUGCAUUUAGAGGAGGGGCGACACCCACGAAACCACCAUCCAGACGAAGACACAGAACAUCGGCCGGCUUCUCCUCCCCUCCGUCAGUGACCCUCUCUCUCAAGGGGAGCCCCUCCUCUGCCUUCCACUACCAUCAGGGAGUUUUGUCUGGGUUUGGACUUCACAUCAGUGAAAACACACAGCGUCGACCCCUUUGUGUCUGGCUUCCUCAGCGCACAGUGUAUUUGUGAAGUUCACCCCGGUUAUUACCGGCAGAAGUUCGUUCUGUUUUCGUUGCCGUGUUCCGUGGCAUGACCCAUUGGGAGUAUUUCUCUGUACGACUGUGCUCGGACGCUUGUGUUUCUAGCUCACGGCCCAGAUGAAUGCCGCUGCCCCCUGCACACGUGCGCUUGUCUCUUGGUGGACACGCCCAGGCAUUUCUAGGAGAGGAGUUUUGUGGAUUCCCAACUUGGGAAGAUAGUGCCAGACAGUUUUCUAAAGUUGUGCUCACACCAAAAAUCACGGAAUCUCCCUCUCUCUGCAUCGACAGGAACCCUUGAUUCUGUCAGCCCUUUUAAUCUCACCGUUCUGGCCACCAUCGUGGUUUUAAGCGUGCGUUUCCACGGUGACUGAUGAUGCGUUCUUCACGUGUUCAUUUACCACGUGGUGGGGUCCUUUGCACGUCUUUCACCCAUUAGGAAACCGAGUCGUCCCUGCGCACCGAGGACAGCGGCUUCCUCCACCGUUGCCCAGGCUGUGGAGCAACGAAGAUGUCCUGAGGCAGGUGGACCGAGUGCACAACAGCCGGAGCGAGCCCUCGUGUCAAUGACGGGCCCUGGGCGAUCGUGACGUGUCAGUGCAGGUUCAUGGAUCGUGGCCAGUGUCCCACUGUGGUGCGAGGUCGGUAAGGGACCAGCGUUGUGUGUGGGGGGGCAGGGGGCCAUCUGGGAAAUCUCUGCACAUUCUGUUCAAUUUUGCUGUGAACCUAAGGCUGCUCACAAAAUAAAGUUUGUUAAUUCAAAAUACGACAUUUAGAGAAGAAGCGAGAAACAAAAUAAUACAUUCAUAUGAUUUCUUUUAUAGACAAUUACUUUAUAGAACUUAUCGAGAUGUUCGUUGUGGUCUGAUACGCAAUUGUGUUUACAUUUUUUUAAUGUUUAUUUUUGAGAGAGAGAGAGAGAGAGACAGAGAGAGACAGAGCACGAGCAGGGAAAGGGCAGAGAGAGAGGAAGACACAGAACCCGAAGCAGGCUCCAGGCCCCGAGCUGUCAGCCCAGAGCCCGACGCGGGGCUCGAACCCACGGAUCAUGAGAUCAUGACCUGAGCUGAAGUCGGACGCUUACCCGACAGAGCCACCCAGGCGCCCCGUGUGAUUGUAUUUACACAGCAUGUGGGUGCUGGAGAGGACGGUGUACCCACUGGAGCAGAAAGACAUUGUACAGUUGCCAGGCGGAACCCUGCCUCCUGAGGGCCCCUCCCCACCCAGAGCCUCUGCUGUGUCUGCAGCGCGGGUGGCGGUCCCUGUGUGCGCACGUGAGUCCGGGGGCGCUGGGCCUGGGAAUCUGCAUGUGCUCCAGGAGAGGCCCGGGAUCUCCCCCCAUGGCUGUGGGGCAGCUCCGCUCCCUGGGGCGUCGCCAUGACCCCUGCCCGGGGCGCACCUCUGCCAGGACCCCUGUGUCCAGCCGGCAGGAACCUGCUGUCACGCCAGGGACGUUGAGGGACCGCGGGGCUGAAUCGGGGUCGAGAUGCUCGGCUCCCUGGCCAGUGUUUUGACAAAGGGUAAGCUCCCCCAGAGGGGCCGUGCUCCCUGGUGGCUCCUCCCAUGCUGUGCCGU